AACGAACGCUGGCGGCAUGCCUAACACAUGCAAGUCGAACGAGACCUUCGGGUCUAGUGGCGCACGGGUGCGUAACGCGUGGGAACCUGCCCUUAGGUUCGGAAUAACUCCCCGAAAGGGGUGCUAAUACCGGAUAAUGUCUUCGGACCAAAGAUUUAUCGCCUUUGGAUGGGCCCGCGUUGGAUUAGCUAGUUGGUAGGGUAAAAGCCUACCAAGGCGACGAUCCAUAGCUGGUCUGAGAGGAUGAUCAGCCACACUGGGACUGCGACACGGCCCAGACUCCUACGGGAGGCAGCAGUGGGUAAUAUUGGGCAAUGGGCGAAAGCCUGAUCCAGCAAUGCCGCGUGAGUGAUGAAGGCCUUAGGGUUGUAAAGCUCUUUUACCCGGGAUGAUAAUGACAGUACCGGGAGAAUAAGCUCCGGCUAACUCCGUG
rnacentral:rRNA from 1 species